GACAGAGGAUGCAAGCGUUAUCCGGAAUGAUUGGGCGUAAAGCGUCUGUAGGUGGCUUUUCAAGUCUGCCGUCAAAUCCCAGGGCUCAACCCUGGACAGGCGGUGGAAACUACCAAGCUAGAGUACGGUAGGGGCAGAGGGACUUUCUGGUGGAGCGGUGAAAUGCAUUGAGAUCGGAAAGAACACCAACGGCGAAAGCACUCUGCUGGGCCGACACUGACACUAAGAGACGAAACCUAGGGGAGCAAAUGGG
rnacentral:rRNA from 1 species